UACGGAGGAGGCAAGCGUUAUCCGGAAUUAUUGGGCGUAAAGCGUCCGCAGGUGGCACUUCAAGUCUGUCGUCAAAGACUGGGGCUUAACCCUGGAAAGGCGGUGGAAACUAAAGCGCUAGAGUGCGGUAGGGGUAGAGGGAAUUCCCGGUGUAGCGGUGAAAUGCGUAGAGAUCGGGAAGAACAUCGGUGGCGAAAGCGCUCUACUGGACCGCAACUGACACUCAGGGACGAAAGCUAGGGGAGCGAAUGGG
rnacentral:rRNA from 1 species